UCCCUGGUGGUCCAGUGGUUAAGACUCUGCACUUUCAAUGCAGGGGGGGCCAGGGUUCAAUCCCUGGUCAAGGAA